rnacentral:lncRNA from 1 species
AGUUGCUAUAGUGGUGCAAUAGCACACUAUUGCAUAGCGGAAUUUCACAAGCGCUAUAGCACUAUUUUCCGUUAUCUGCGAUUGGUAACAUUGAUUCAAUUGUAACAUUAUACAACAGUUUUUUUGUUCUUCAUUUAUAACUAUGUUUUCAAAGGAAAAUUUAACAUGCACUUGGGGUACUACAAACAUGCUCUUUUGAUUAGUUCUUAUCAAAGGAGG